rnacentral:lncRNA from 1 species
GAGAGGAGGAAGACCAGGCUAGAGGAGGGAGACCAGGCUAGAGGAGGAAGACCAGGCUAGAGGAGGAAGACCAGGCUAGAGGAGGAAGGCCAGGCUAGAGGAGGAAGGCCAGGCUAGAGGAGGAAGACCAGGCUAGAGGAGGAAGACCAGGCUAGGGGAGGGAGACCAGGCGAGAGGAGGGGGCACAUGAAGGAAACCCAGCUCCUGUCUUCUGCCAACAGAAACAACCAGAGGUUUAACAUGCACAGUGCAGCUUCUCUAGUAACCACAUACAUCACUUUUUGGUCCUU